ACGGAGGAUCCAAGCGUUAUCCGGAAUCAUUGGGUUUAAAGGGUCCGUAGGCGGGCGUCUAAGUCAGUGGUGAAAUUCUGCAGCUCAACUGUAGGACUGCCAUUGAUACUGGUCGCCUUGAAUUAGUGUGAAGUGGCUAGAAUAUGUAGUGUAGCGGUGAAAUGCUUAGAUAUUACAUAGAAUACCGAUUGCGAAGGCAGGUCACUAACACUAUAUUGACGCUGAUGGACGAAAGCGUGGGGAGCGAACAGG
rnacentral:rRNA from 1 species